GGGGGUGACAGGCUUCGACUUCGGACGUCGAGCCAGGGGAAGCGGGCCGAGGACCGCGGUGCUGACCUCGUAAAAAAAGCGUCGCAAAAACAAUAAGCGCCGACAACACGCGCGCUGACUUCGCUCUCGCUGCCUGAUCAACGAGAAGGAGUCUGUCAGACCGGGUUCGCCAUCGGCCCGGAUCCUGGCAUCAGUUAGAUGGCUCACUGCGCUGAUCGGCUGCGGAUCUUCGCGGGACACCUCACAGCGGCUGGGCCUGUCACACCGACGCGUGCGCGCGAUCGGAGGGGCCGAGUAGAGACAAAGCGCACUGCGCCCGGAGAAGACCUGUCAAAGCGGCGAAGGACGCGGGUUCAAUUCCCGCCACCUCCACCU
rnacentral:tmRNA from 1 species